rnacentral:rRNA from 1 species
UACAGAGGGUGCGAGCGUUAAUCGGAAUUACUGGGCGUAAAGCGUGCGUAGACGGCUAUCUAAGUCGGGUGUGAAAGCCCGGGCUCAACCUGGGAAUUGCAUUCGAGACUGAAUAGCUAGGGUGCGGUAGAGGGAAGCGGAAUUUCCGGUGUAGCGGUGAAAUGCGUAGAUAUCGGAAGGAACACCAGUGGCGAAGGCGGCUUACUGGUCCAUUACUGACGCUGAGGUGCGAAAGCGUGGGGAGCAAACAGGG